GACGAACGCUGGCGGCGUGCCUAAUACAUGCAAGUAGAACGCUGAAGGAGUAGCUUGCUUCUCUGGAUGAGUUGCGAACGGGUGAGUAACGCGUAGGUAACCUGCCUUGUAGCGUGGGAUAACUAUAGGAAACGAUAGCUAAUACCGCAUAAUAGUAGAUGUUGCAUGACAUUUGCUUGAAAGUUGCAAUUGCCUCACUACCAUAUGCAGCUGCGGUGUUUUAUCUUGUUGGUGGGGUAACGGCUCACCAAGGCGGCGGUACAUAGGCGAGCUGAGAGGGUGGUUGGCCAAACUGGGACUGAGACACGGCCCAGGAGCCUUAGGGAGGGAGCAAGAGGGAAUCUUUGGCAAUGGGGGGAAGGCUGACCGAGGAAAGCCGGGGGAGGGGAGAAGGUCUUCGGGUUGUAAAGGUCUGUUGUAAGGGAAGAAAGAGUGUGAGAGUGGAAAGUUGACGCUGUGACGGUAUCUGACCAGAAAGCAACGGCUAACUACGUG
rnacentral:rRNA from 1 species